UCACCGGAGUCAAUCAGCUGUAGGCUCCAACUCAUUAUGAAAAGUGAAAAGUACAUGCUGGAGUACAAGAAGACUCUGAAGAUGAUCAGACAAGGCAAAGUGAAACUGUCAUCCUUGCCAACAAUUGUACAGCUUUGAGGAAAUCUGAAAUAGCAUUAUUACAGCAUAUUGGCCCAAACUGGUGUCCAUCACUACAGUGGCAAUAAUAAUGAAUUGUGCACAGCAUGCAGAAAAUACUACAGAUUCUGCACACUAGCUAUCAUUUAUCCAGAUGAUUCUGAUAUCAUUAGAAGCAUGCCAUAACAGGCUGGUGAAAGGUAA
rnacentral:lncRNA from 1 species